GCUACACAUGCAAGUCGAGCGGUAGCACAGAGAGCUUGCUCUCGGGUGACGAGCGGCGGACGGGUGAGUAAUGUCUGGGAAACUGCCUGAUGGAGGGGGAUAACUACUGGAAACGGUAGCUAAUACCGCAUAACGUCGCAAGACCAAAGUGGGGGACCUUCGGGCCUCAUGCCAUCAGAUGUGCCCAGAUGGGAUUAGCUGGUAGGUGGGGUAACGGCUCACCUAGGCGACGAUCCCUAGCUGGUCUGAGAGGAUGACCAGCCACACUGGAACUGAGACACGGUCCAGACUCCUACGGGAGGCAGCAGUGGGGAAUAUUGCACAAUGGGCGCAAGCCUGAUGCAGCCAUGCCGCGUGUGUGAAGAAGGCCUUCGGGUUGUAAAGCACUUUCAGCGGGGAGGAAGGCGGUGAGGUUAAUAACCUCAUCGAUUGACGUUACCCGCAGAAGAAGCACCGGCUAACUCCGUGCCAGCAGCCGCGGUAAUACGGAGGGUGCAAGCGUUAAUCGGAAUUACUGGGCGUAAAGCGCACGCAGGCGGUCUGUCAAGUCGGAUGUGAAAUCCCCGGGCUCAACCUGGGAACUGCAUUCGAAACUGGCAGGCUAGAGUCUUGUAGAGGGGGGUAGAAUUCCAGGUGUAGCGGUGAAAUGCGUAGAGAUCUGGAGGAAUACCGGUGGCGAAGGCGGCCCCCUGGACAAAGACUGACGCUCAGGUGCGAAAGCGUGGGGAGCAAACAGGAUUAGAUACCCUGGUAGUCCACGCUGUAAACGAUGUCGAUUUGGAGGUUGUGCCCUUGAGGCGUGGCUUCCGGAGCUAACGCGUUAAAUCGACCGCCUGGGGAGUACGGCCGCAAGGUUAAAACUCAAAUGAAUUGACGGGGGCCCGCACAAGCGGUGGAGCAUGUGGUUUAAUUCGAUGCAACGCGAAGAACCUUACCUGGUCUUGACAUCCACAGAACUUUCCAGAGAUGGAUUGGUGCCUUCGGGAACUGUGAGACAGGUGCUGCAUGGCUGUCGUCAGCUCGUGUUGUGAAAUGUUGGGUUAAGUCCCGCAACGAGCGCAACCCUUAUCCUUUGUUGCCAGCGGUUAGGCCGGGAACUCAAAGGAGACUGCCAGUGAUAAACUGGAGGAAGGUGGGGAUGACGUCAAGUCAUCAUGGCCCUUACGACCAGGGCUACACACGUGCUACAAUGGCAUAUACAAAGAGAAGCGACCUCGCGAGAGCAAGCGGACCUCAUAAAGUAUGUCGUAGUCCGGAUUGGAGUCUGCAACUCGACUCCAUGAAGUCGGAAUCGCUAGUAAUCGUAGAUCAGAAUGCUACGGUGAAUACGUUCCCGGGCCUUGUACACACCGCCCGUCACACCAUGGGAGUGGGUUGCAAAAGAAGUAGGUAGCUUAACCUUCGGGAGGGCGCUACC
rnacentral:rRNA from 1 species